rnacentral:rRNA from 1 species
GUCUUUAAGAUUAUAAUUUAAAGUUUAAUCUGCCCACUGAAAAAUAUUGAAUGGCCGCAGUAUAUUAACUGUGCGAAGGUAGCAUAAUAAUUAGUUUUUUAAUUAAAAGCCGGAAUGAAUGAUUGGACGAGAAAAUUACUGUUUCAAUUAAAUUUAUUUAGAAUUUUAUAUUUAAGUAAAAAAGCUUAGAUAUUAUUAAUAGACGAGAAGACCCUAUAGAGUUUUAUUUUUAUACAAAUUUAUUGUAAUUAGUAUUGUUUAGGUUUAUUUUUAUAAAAAUUUUAUUGGGGUGAUAUGAAAAUAUAUUAGGCUUUUUAUUAUUAUAACAAAAAUUAUUGAAUUUAUGAUCCUUUUCUAAGAUUAAAAGAUUAAAUUACCUUAGGGAUAACAGCGUAAUUUUUUUAGAGAGAUCAUAUCGAUAAAAAAGAUUGCGACCUCGAUGUUGGAUUAAGAUAUAUUUUUAAUGAAGAGAUUAGAAUAGUAAGUCUGUUCGACUUUUAAAAUCUUACAUGAUC